AUUGAACGCUGGCGGCAUGCUUUACACAUGCAAGUCGAACGGUAACAGGCCUUCGGGUGCUGACGAGUGGCGAACGGGUGAGUAAUGCAUCGGAACGUACCCAGAGGUGGGGGAUAACGCAGCGAAAGCUGUGCUAAUACCGCAUGUGAUCUGAGGAUGAAAGCGGGGGACCGAGCAGCAAUGUUUGGCCUCUCGCCUUUGGAGCGGCCGAUGUCGGAUUAGCUAGUUGGUGGGGUAAAGGCCUACCAAGGCGACGAUCCGUAGCUGGUCUGAGAGGACGACCAGCCACACUGGGACUGAGACACGGCCCAGACUCCUACGGGAGGCAGCAGUGGGGAAUUUUGGACAAUGGGCGCAAGCCUGAUCCAGCAAUGCCGCGUGCGGGAAGAAGGCCUUCGGGUUGUAAACCGCUUUUGGCAGGAACGAAACGGUGUCCGCUAAUACCGGGCGCUAAUGACGGUACCUGCAGAAUAAGCACCGGCUAACUACGUG
rnacentral:rRNA from 1 species